rnacentral:rRNA from 1 species
AGUGAACGCUGGCGGUAGGCCUAACACAUGCCAGUCGAACGGCAGCACAGUAAGAUCUUGCUCUUACGGGUGGCGAGUGGCGGACGGGUGAGGAAUACAUCGGAAUCUACUUUUUCGUGGGGGAUAACGUAGGGAAACUUACGCUACUACCGCAUACGACCUACGGGUGAAAGCAGGGGAUCUUCGGACCUUUCGCGAUUGAAUGAGCCGAUGUCGGAUUAGCUAGUUGGCGGGGUAAAGGCCCACCAAGGCGACGAUCCGUAGCUGGUCUGAGAGGAUGAUCAGCCACACUGGAACUGAGACACGGUCCAGACUCCUACGGGAGGCAGCAGUGGGGAAUAUUGGACAAUGGGCGAAAGCCUGAUCCAGCAAUACCGCGUGGGUGAAGAAGGCCUUCGGGUUGUAAAGCCCUUUUGUUGGGAAAGAAAAGCAGCAGGUUAAUACCCCGCUGUUCUGACGGUACCCAAAGAAUAAGCACCGGCUAACUUCGUG